rnacentral:lncRNA from 1 species
GUGGUACGUGCCCUGGCAUCAAAAGAGCCCUGAGCAGAGAGUAGUGGAGAAUCAAGCAUUCACUUCCCAGAAGAAUGCUGAGUGGGUGUGGGCAGGGACCAGCAGUGGCUGCCGCAGCUCCUGAGCGUUUCUCUUCAGGAGUGCAUGUUCUGUGGGCCCAGCUGGUUGAUUAUAGGCUCCCCAGCAGGGACAGGUCCUAAAGGACAGAGGCCAGAUAGACAUGUGUGUCGGAGAAAGAACCCCAGGUGCCUUGUUGGUGUGCCUAGGGCCUGCAGCCAGAUUCCUGGGUCCAGACAUGUCAUCUCCCCCUAUAGGUGACUCCAGGCUUCCAGAAAUUAGAAGUGACUGGCCAGUGCUGCCUGGACUGGCUAUUUGAAACCUAAGGCUUGUGCUCUGGCUUGGAAAAAUGAGCUACAGUGUCUCCUCCUCAGGAUUUGAUUGUUAAGAUGAAAGUUGUUAGUUGGCUUGGGAGCUAAGGUAGAAGUCUUGCCUUCAGGGUUGCAAGAGCUGUCAGAUGCCGGAUGGCCCAAACCAGAGAAAAUCCAGACAGAGAGAGGGUUGUGAUCAGUUUACGUGGUCCCUAAAAGAACUGCUUGGGUCCUGGUGGCUUUCUGUUUGCAGCUCCAGUUUCCUUGCGCUGUGGAUUGAGUCCUCAGAUUUCUUGGUAUUCAGCCAACCCCACUUUGCAUGGUAAGAAUUCUCUAAACUGCCUACAGUCUUGAGGUUGCCCUUCUUUUCUUCUGUGUGGAGGUGAAACUGAAAAUCCUAAUUAUUCCAUGAUCAGUGCUUUUGCCAAGAGGAUACCAAGCUUGAUAUCAUCACAUCGGACCGACACCAGGAAUUAGUGCGAUGUGGGCUUGCUGAGCUGCGAGUCAAAGCAGAUUUUACGUAAUGAAGUAAAAGCAAUCAACUAAAAAAGUCUCAUUAAUGCUUCUGUACGUUUUGAGGAAAUGGAAAUGUGACCAAAAUGCACAUUAUGAACUCCUCAAGAUCACAGGUAGGUAAAUCACCUCUCGGUUUUAGCAGUGUUGUACAGAAGAUCUCCAGGACAUCUGACAAAUAAGAUCUUUUCAUUUUCUUUGGUAAGAAACAUAGACUGAAUGGGAUGGGCCAAAAUUUACAUUUGCACUGCCUGCCAAAUAUGCAAAUAAAUAAGAAAAGUCUACUUUAUCUUUGGAUGAAAGAUCAGCA